CGGACGGGUGAGUAAUGUCUGGGAAACUGCCUGAUGGAGGGGGAUAACUACUGGAAACGGUAGCUAAUACCGCAUAACGUCGCAAGACCAAAGAGGGGGACCUUGGGCCUCUUGCCAUCGGAUGUGCCCAGAUGGGAUUAGCUAGUAGGUGGGGUAAAGGCUCACCUAGGCGACGAUCCCUAGCUGGCCUGAGAGGAUGACCAGCCACACUGGAACUGAGACACGGUCCAG
rnacentral:rRNA from 1 species